GACGAACGCUGGCGGCGUGCUUAGCACAUGCAAGUCGAACGAUGAAGCCUAGCUUGCUGGGUGGAUUAGUGGCGAACGGGUGAGUAAUACGUGAGUAACCUACCUUUAACUCUGGGAUAAGCCUGGGAAACUGGGUCUAAUACCGGAUACGACCAAUCUCCGCAUGGGGUGUUGGUGGAAAGCGUUAUGUAGUGGUUAUAGAUGGGCUCACGGCCUAUCAGCUUGUUGGUGAGGUAACGGCUCACCAAGGCGACGACGGGUAGCCGGCCUGAGAGGGUGACCGGCCACACUGGGACUGAGACACGGCCCAGACUCCUACGGGAGGCAGCAGUGGGGAAUAUUGCACAAUGGGCGCAAGCCUGAUGCAGCGACGCCGCGUGAGGGAUGACGGCCUUCGGGUUGUAAACCUCUGUUAGCAGGGAAGAAGAGAAAUUGACGGUACCUGCAGAGAAAGCGCCGGCUAACUACGUG
rnacentral:rRNA from 1 species